rnacentral:rRNA from 1 species
UACGAAGGGGGCUAGCGUUGCUCGGAAUCACUGGGCGUAAAGGGUGCGUAGGCGGGUCUUUAAGUCAGGGGUGAAAUCCUGGAGCUCAACUCCAGAACUGCCUUUGAUACUGAGGAUCUUGAGUUCGGGAGAGGUGAGUGGAACUGCGAGUGUAGAGGUGAAAUUCGUAGAUAUUCGCAAGAACACCAGUGGCGAAGGCGGCUCACUGGCCCGAUACUGGCGCUGAGGCACGAAAGCGUGGGGAGCGAACAGG